UACGAAGGGGGCUAGCGUUGCUCGGAAUUACUGGGCGUAAAGGGCGCGUAGGCGGCAUGGCAAGUCAGGAGUGAAAGGCCUGGGCUCAACCGAGGAACUGCUUUUGAUACUGCCAAGCUAGAGUGCGGAAGGGGCAACUGGAAUUCCCAGUGUAGCGGUGAAAUGCGUAGAUAUCGUAAGGAAGACCAGUGGCGAAGGCGGGUCUCUGGACAGUUCCUGACGCUGAGGCGCGAAAGCUAGGGGAGCAAACGGG
rnacentral:rRNA from 1 species